rnacentral:misc_RNA from 1 species
ACAGCGGGGACCACGGGGUGUAGUAAGGUCGAUCGCCUGGACUCCUGAUAAAAUAAAUCUAUACGUACGACAUCGUUGUACAGUGGCAGUCAAGAAUAAUGACAGGGAAGGAACUAGCUCAAUUCAAUCCUUCAAGAUGGUGGCAAAGAUAUCAACCGAUUAGCCGUGUCAAAUAAAAACAUCACCUCAAGAUGAACCAGACGGAAUUCCUGGAGCCACGGAGCAAUGUGUCCGUCAGUAGGAUAGUCUCCAUGGCCGUCCCUUCCGUCAUGUUCGCGGCGGGGGUCCUGGGGAACAGUUUGGCCCUGGUGGUGCUGUACAGUUCCCGCAAACAGCAGAAACAAUCCGUGUUUUACCGCCUAGUUGGAGCUCUGGCCAUCACCGAUCUAUUGGGGACGUGCGCUACCUCGCCCGUCAUUCUGUUAGUGUAUGCCAAUGGACUAAAGUGGCAGGGCGGACGGCCGCUAUGCAACUAUGCUUCUUUUAUGAUGAUAUUUGCAGGACUGGCAACCAUAUUCAUUCUGGCCGCAAUGGCUAUGGACCGAUAUCUUGCUCUAAAUAAACCUUAUUUUUACAGCGCCCAUGUGAACCCGUCCCGGGUGAAAUACGUGUUUCCAAUAUUGUUAACCGCAGCCCUAGUGAUGGCCUGUCUCCCUCUCAUCGGGGUAGGGGACAACGUCCACCAUUUCCCGGGGACCUGGUGUUUUUUCGAUUAUUACGGGACCACCUUCCGGGUGAAAUUAUUCGCCUACAUGUACAGUGUGUUAGGACUUAGUGCGCUCACUGUGAUUAUCAUUCUCAACUUUGUGGUCCUCCGAACUGUCUUGUCUCUUCACCGUAAGGCAUGCGAGAUUCAGAUGGUGGUGUUUUUGAUCGGAAUUUUGACCAUAGUCAGUGUGUGCUGGGCGCCACUCAUGGUGAGAAAUUUAUGUAUCCCAUUGUUCAAGCUUUUCAAGUCUAUAGAGAGUAUCGGAUAAACAUCUUUGCAUGCUCAGGUCCAUUACCCCAUCCCCCCCCUAAAUGAUUUUUACUUCAAAUUUAAAAAAAUGUAAUGUAACACAAUGUCUUUUAUCAAUAUAUACGGGAGUAUGUCAUUUGCGUGAAUCCAUAGAAAUGAAUUUUAAACUUCCUCAUUCCACCUCUCACUUAAAUUACACAUUUAUUUGUAAUGAUUUAAGUAGUUUUUCUUCCAUUAUUUUCAAACGCGGAAAAAGAAACAACGAAUCUAUAAGCAAUUAUAAUUUUGUAUUUUAUAUAUUAUACUAAGGAGGUUGGAUGCUCGACAAAUUACAAUUAUACAUUAAAGCAUUACACCAAUUUUUGAAGCUAUAAACUAUAAUAAGUAAAGAAAAUAUCCAAUUUUAGGUUUAAAAUUAGAAUUUUAUCAAAGCCCUACGUCUAAAUGAGAUUGAUACUAGUAUGUACAAAAUGUGGUCUUAAAAUAGCCAUGACCAUCCAGACAGCCCUCUUACGGCAAUUUCCGAGGUGAGAUAAAUAUAAGAUAUGUAAUAUGAAAGUUCGAUUAUUGUCGGUCCCUCAAUUCAAACAGAUGAUCAUUAAUACUGAAGACAAGUAGGACGCAAAAAUAAAAACCCACGAAAAUUACAUAAGUUAAAGAAAGAAACGUAUGAAAUAACUUCUUAAAGCGUUGUUUUUAAUUUUGUUGUUUAUUUUCUUUUCAGAUUCGAGUCUUUCUUAUACAGACAGGCCUCAAAGAGAAAGACGUUAUUCGAGAUUUGAUAUUCAUUCGAAUGGCUUCAUUCAAUCAAAUCAUGGACCCUUGGGUGUAUAUUUUGUUUCGUAAAACUCUAUUGACCAGAAUAAUUCAGUUUAUAAAAGUUCACCUGUGCUUACAAAGAAAACAAAUAAGCUCCAAAGUGCCGGGUGUAGGAGAUAUUGAGGAGAUAUCGCGGGUGAGGCAGGGUGAGUUGAGCCAACAAUCUUGCAACAACGGAGCUGGUGAACCAUUCCUCAGUAAAUCCACAGGAGAAACCCUUUCUUAGAUGGAUUGAUUCUGACCAAAUACUUUCCUGUUUUUCGCCGUUGUAAAGAAUUUUCGGCCAGACCAGACGCGAUUGAUAAAUCGUUCGCUACAAACAAACUCAGGCGACAGUAGCUGAGAUUUGGAUGUUUGUGAAUGUGAUUUAACCACUUACUGUGUUCAAGAUGGACAAUGCUCUAAAAUGGGAGAUGUAAAAAUAAUUUUAUUAAUAAAAAAAUACAAGAAAAUGUUAAAUAAAGUAAAUAAAAUAAAUCAUCAUAUAAAUAC